GAGAGACAAGAAGCCAGAAAGCCAUGCAGGUGGUGAUUGCCAACCACACAGUCGCCUCCGUAAGAACAUUUGGAUUGUUCCCGGCAGUUUGCAUAGUGAUCUAGCAUUUGUAUAAAUAAAGUAGCCACUAACUUCAUGUGGUUAUUCAAGUGCCGUUAAGACCUUGGUCCCCAGUCACACUGGCCACAUUUCAAGUGUUCAACAGCCCCACGUGGCCAGUGACUACGUUGUUAGAGCAGACACAGACCUUUCCAACAUCUCAGGGAGCUCUCUUGGAUGCUGCUAAGAUCCUACAAUCCUGUGAGGUGUGCAUUUUCUUUUUUUCUUUUUUUUUUUUUUUGAGGUGUGCAUUUUUAUCUCCGUUUUACAGAUAAGAAAUUUGAGGUUCAGAGAGAUUAAGUGACCCGCUAAAGGUGGCAGUGACAGACCCAGAAUAAGAACCCAGGACUUCUGACUCCAAGGUCAAGGUCGAAAUGUUUCCCAUU